CGGUACGUGGCUCAGUCAGUGGAGCGCCCGGCUUCGGUCCGGGAGGGCGCGGGGGCGGAACCCGCCGUACCGG
rnacentral:tRNA from 2 species